CCGAUCGCCCCUCGCCCUCCCCUGGCCCCAGCGCCGACACGGCCUCACACUCACCUCCCCCGGGCGGCAGCGGGACGCUCCGCGCCCCUUCCCCGUGCUCCUUUCCCCCUCCUCCUCCGCUCCCGGCGCGCAGCUCCAGCUCCGGUCCCGCAGCCGGGAGGUGCCGCCCGGCGGUCCCGGCUCUCCGCGGGUUGCGCGGGGAGGAGGAGGGCAGCGGGGAGCUCCUCGCUUCUCCCGGGAUGCGCCGCCUCGGGCUGCCUCCUCCUCCCCCUCCUCUUUUCACGGCCUCCCCACUGUCCGGAGGUGCCGCCCGGCCGUCCCGUUCGCCGUCCCCCGCCCCUCUCCCCGCACAGGCCCCGCCGGCGGCCGGCAGUACCCGGGGGCGGCGGGAUAUUCCGGCCCGGCCUCCUCUCCUCUUCUCUCCCCGGGGCCUGCUGCACGAUCUCCGCGGGGAGACGAGGCCCUGCCCGGCCUGAGCAGCCCCGGGAAGGUCACCGGCAGCGUGCAGCCGGGAGAGGAGCGGCUCCCCCCGGCCCCGCUCCUAAAGCCGCCGGCCCAGCCUCAGCCUCAGCGGCCGCUGGGUGCCGCGCUCCGCCCGGGCUCGCUCCGUGCCGCUGCCCGGUGCCGCCUCCAGCUCGGAGUGCCAGGCUGCCCCCUUCCCUUUCUUCCUUCCUUCCUUCCUUCCUUCCUUGCCUCCCGCCCCUUCCCCGCUGCCAGACUUCCCCCGCCCGGUGCCAGGCUGCCCCCUGCGGGUCUCGCCGCCCACCGCCGGCAGUACUCCAGUGCCGGCAGAGGGGUCCUCGCCGCAGCCACCGCUCUGCCCCGGGCUCAGCGGCAGCUGCAGUGACUGUGUGUCUGUGUCAUGUCUGUGCAUGGGCGGGAGGAGGCGCGGCGCCGAGGCGGAGCCAGCCCAUUGACACACCGCCCAGCGACAGGCAACGAGCGCCCAACCAGCGGCAACCGCGCACCGACCGCCUUCACCGAGCGGCGCCCCCGGUCCGCUGUACCUGGACCGGGCCGGGCCGGGCCGGGCCGGGCCGGGCCGGAGCGGGAGGGGCAGAGAGGGGAGAGCCGGCCCCGCACGGGGCUGCACCUCAGCGUACACUCUACCAAAAUACUGUGAACUCAGGAGCAGAUUAUUCAUGGGAAAAUAGCGUUUGCCAGACUCAAUUAAGACUUUGGUCCAUCAACUGCAGUGCUCUGCCACCAGCUGUGCCCACUGCCCGAUGCUUCAGUCAGGAGUGGUAUCAGAUGAACUGCAGUAAAUCAUGAAGUUGAAUGUAACAUAUACAGGUUUGCAACUGCUUUGGUGGCAGUCGUGAUGAAAGAAUUGCUGGGGAUGUAUGGAGGAGGACCCAAGACUGUCUGUAUGCUUUCAUUAUUAAGAAAGCCACGUUGUCUACUGCCUACCACUGGAAAUUUGAGUGGAUUCAUAUGUUUUUAGUUUCAUGCCGUGUCCUAAAGAUUUGUGAAUUUCUUGCUGGAUCAAUAGGUAAAGGCAUAAGAGUGCACAUAUUCAGACAGGUUAUAGCACUUUCACAGUAGCAAAGCAUCACUGAGUACAGUAGGACUAAGUCUGUUCGUAAGACCUUGAAAAUUUACAAAUUAGCUGAGUGUCAGUGAGAACAAAAUUAUUUCCAGUAUAACCAUUUGA
ensembl:lncRNA